GGCUGAUCACGCGGCUCAGAUUGAACGCCGGCGGAUGCUUUACACAUGCAAGUCGAACGGCAGCAUCGACUUCGGUCUGGCAUGAGUGGCGAACGGCAGGAGUAAAAUGUAUCGGUAAACGCUCUAGUAGCGGGGAUAACUACGCGCAGCGUAGCUAAUACCGGCAUACGCUCCUCGGGGGAAAGUGGGGACCUUUCGCCUUCGCACUAUUAGGAGCGGCCGAUAUCGAUUAGCUGGUUGGGUGGGCAACUGCUCCACCGCGACGAUCCGUAGCUGUUUGAGGAGGCACGACCAGCCACACUGUAUCGGCGGAUACGGCCCAGACUCGCACGGGAGGCAGCAGUGGGGAAUUUUGGGACAAUGGGGGAAACCCUGAUCCAGCCAUCUGGCGGUGAUGAAGGCCUUCGGGUUGUAAAGCACUUUGGCAGGAAGAAACGGCACGGGAUAAUACCCCCGUGCAACUGACGGUACCUGCAGAAUAAGCACCGGCUAACUACCGUGCCAGCAGCCGCGGUAAUACGUAGGGUGCAAGCGUUAAUUCAACCGGCGAAGCAGCAGGCGGUUCGGAAAGAAAGAUGUGAAAUCCCAGAGCUUAACUUUGGAACUGCAUUUUUAACUACCGAGCUAGAGUGGGCCAGAGGGAGGUGGAAUUCCGCGUAGCAGUGAAAUGCGUAGAUAUGCGGAGAACGCAUCGGUGGCGAAGGCAGCCUCUCAAGAUAACACUUGACGUCGGCGCACGAAAGCGGGGAGCAAAUGAUUGGAUAAUUCCGGUAGUCCACGCCCUAAACGAUGUCAACUAGAGCUGUUGGGGCCUUUCGGGCCUUGGUAGCGCAGCCAACGCGUGAAGUUGACCGCCUGUGGAGAUGGCCGCAAGAUUAAAACCUCAGCGGAAUCGGACGGGGACCCGCACAAGCGGUGGAUGAUGUGGAUUAACGAUGCACGCCAAAAUCGCCACCACCCUUGACAUGUCUGGAAUCCCGAAGAGAUUUGGGGGAGUGCUCGCAAGAGAACCGGAACACAGGUGCUGCAUGGCUGUCGCCGUCGUGUCGAGAUGUUGGGUUAAGUCCCGCAACGAGCGCAACCCUUGUCAUUAGUUGCUACGAAGGGCACCCAUGAGACUGCCGGUGACAAACCGGAGGAAGGUGGGGAUGACGUCAAGUCCUCGCGGCCUAUGGGUAGGGUCAUGUCAUACAAUGGUCGGGACAGAGGGUCGCCAACCCGCGAGGGGGAGCAAUCCCAGAAACCCGAUCGUAGUCCGGAUCGCAGUCUGCAACCUGACUGCGUGAAGUCGGAAUCGCUAGUAAUCGCGGAUCAGCAUAUCGCAGGAAUACGUUCCCCGGUCUGUACACCGCCCGUCACACCAUGGGAGUGGGUUUUACCAGAAAGUAGUUAGCCUCCAAAUCGCAAGGAGGGCGAUUACCAAUGGUAGGAUUCAUGACUGGGUGAAGUCGUAACAAGGUAG
rnacentral:rRNA from 1 species